AACUUCCCCAAAACUGGUGAAUAGCCCUCCGAAAGGAGGAUUAAUACACCGUAAGAUAAUGAGAUGGCAUCAUUUUAUUAUUAUAGCUCCGGCGGUUUUGGAUGGGCGUGCGCCUGAUUAGGUAGUUGGCGGGGUAACGGCCCACCAAGCCUGCGAUCAGUAACUGGUGUGAGAGCACGACCAGUCACACGGGCACUGAGACACGGGCCCGACUCCUACGGGAGGCAGCAGUAAGGAAUAUUGGUCAAUGGACGCAAGUCUGAACCAGCCAUGCCGCGUGAAG
rnacentral:rRNA from 1 species